rnacentral:rRNA from 1 species
UACGUAGGGGGCAAGCGUUGUCCGGAAUCAUUGGGCGUAAAGCGCGUGUAGGCGGCCCGAUAAGUCCGCUGUGAAAGUCCAGGGCUCAACCCUGGGAUGCCGGUGGAUACUGUCGGGCUCGAGUCCGGAAGAGGCGAGUGGAAUUCCUGGUGUAGCGGUGAAAUUCGUAGAUAUCAGGAGGAACACCAGUGGCGAAGGCGGCUCUCUGGGACGGUACUGACGCUGAGACGCGAAAGCGUGGGGAGCGAACAGG